rnacentral:rRNA from 1 species
AAGGCUAAAACUCAAAGGAAUUGACGGGGGCCCGCACAAGCGGCGGAGCAUGCGGAUUAAUACGAUGCAACGCGAAGAACCUUACCAAGGCUUGACAUAUAGAGGAAACGGCUAGAGAUAGUCGCCCCGCAAGGUCUCUAUACAGGUGGUGCAUGGUUGUCGUCAGCUCGUGUCGUGAGAUGUUCGGUUAAGUCCGGCAACGAGCGCAACCCUCGUCCUAUGUUGCCAGCACGUAAUGGUGGGAACUCAUGGGAUACUGCCGUGGUCAACACGGAGGAAGGUGGGGAUGACGUCAAAUCAUCAUGCCCCUUAUGUCUUGGGCUUCACGCAUGCUACAAUGGCCGGUACAAAGGGCUGCAAUACCGUAAGGUGGAGCGAAUCCCAAAAAGCCGGUCUCAGUUCGGAUUGAGGUCUGCAACUCGACCUCAUGAAGUCGGAGUCGCUAGUAAUCGCAGAUCAGCAACGCUGCGGUGAAUACGUUCCCGGGCCUUGUACACACCGCCCGUCAAGUCAUGAAAGUCGGUAACACCCGAAGCCGGUGGCCUAACCUUUUGGAGG